UACGUAGGGUGCGAGCGUUGCCCGGAUUUAUUGGGCGUAAAGGGCGCGUAGGCGGCUCUGCACGUCCGUUGUGAAAUCGCCCGGCUCAACUGGGCGGGGUCAGCGGAUACGGCGGAGCUUGAGCAAGCUAGGGGGCAAUGGAAUUCCCGGUGUAGUGGUGGAAUGCGUAGAUAUCAGGAGGAACACCGGUGGUGUAGACGGCUUACUGGACCAUAACUGACGCUGAGACACGAAAGCGUGGGUAGCAAACAGG
rnacentral:rRNA from 1 species